CCUACGGGUGGCAGCAGUAGGGAAUAUUGCUCAAUGGGGGAAACCCUGAAGCAGCAACGCCGCGUGGAGGAUGAAGGCUUUCGGAUUGUAAACUCCUUUUGUUAGAGAAGAUAAUGACGGUAUCCAACGAAUAAGCACCGGCUAACUCCGUGCCAGCAGCCGCGGAAAUACGGAGGGUGCAAGCGUUACUCGGAAUCACUGGGCGUAAAGAGGGCGUAGGCGGGAUAGCAAGUCAGAUGUGAAAUCCUAUGGCUUAACCAUAGAACUGCAUUUGAAACUGUUAUUCUAGAGUAUGGGAGAGGUAGGUGGAAUUCUUGGUGUAGGGGCAAAAUCCGUAGAUAUCAAGAGGAAUACUCAUUGCGAAGGCGACCUGCUAGAACAUAACUGACGCUGAUGCGCGAAAGCGUGGGGAGCAAACAGGAUUAGAUACCCGAGUAGCC
rnacentral:rRNA from 1 species